UAACCCUGAUUCCUAUGUGUCCACUAUUGGGCUACUUCUGGAUAAGUGUAAUUUACUAGUGAGUUACCAGGAUCACACAUUGGUAUAAGAGAGAUCAUGUGCACAUCAUAAAGGGUUUCUCCUCUCUGGUCUGUCUUCUUCCUUUCAGGGCUAUGAUCAUCAAGCUGUUCCUGGGCAGUGUUGUGGGAAGUGUGUACAGACAAGCUGUGUGGUUAUGCUGCCAGAUAAUACCACACACACUAUUCAGCCUGGUUCUGUCUGGAUACCAUCUGGAGACAAGUGUCUCAAGUUUGAGUGUGUAAAGAUUAUGGACCAAUUCAUCCCAAUCGAGGCUAAGACUGUGUGCCCUGACUUCUACCCAGAAGACUGCAUACCCGGAACUGAAGUUAUUGCUCCAGAUGGUUGCUGCCAUGUCUGUGAGUGUCUUUUUAACACCAUCCUUUUUGAUAGACAUUUGUAAAUCAUUCUUGCCCUUUAUUAUGCAUUGGAAAAAGUGUUUUAGCU